GGUUCGGUGGUGUAGUUGAUAACACCUCCCAGCGUAUAUGGGAUGACCUGGGUUCGAUCCCCGGUCUGAUCA